rnacentral:rRNA from 1 species
CACGUAGGGGGCGAGCGUUGUCCGGAUUUAUUGGGCGUAAAGAGCUCGUAGGCGGCUCAGUAAGUCGGGUGUGAAACCUCCAGGCUCAACCUGGAGACGCCACCUGAUACUGCUGUGGCUGGAGUCCGGUAGGGGAGCGUGGAAUUCCUGGUGUAGCGGUGAAAUGCUUAGAUAUCGUCAAGAACACCGAUAGCGAAGGCAGCUUACUAGACUGUAACUGACGCUGAGGCACGAAAGUGUGGGGAUCAAACAGG